rnacentral:misc_RNA from 1 species
AGAGGGCGCUUUUUACUUGCCCCAUACACAUGCAUCCAAUAUCGAUGAUCUGGUAAUCUGCUGAUAUCGCCGAGUCACGUCAGGUUAGAAAAAAUGGCAAUAAGCAAGAUUGACGAAGACUGGCCUAAAUUUCAGCUGAAAGGGUCACGAUUUAAUCAGGAAACUUUCAGGGGCAGAUAUCGUCACUUUUUAGAUGUCACAGAUCCAAGAACCCUGUUUGUGUCUAAGAAACAACUAGAUGAUGCCGUCAAAUUAUUGGACCACUUUAAGAAUGGGACAUUACCGGAAGGAAUCACCAACAAACAACUCUGGGAGGCACAGAAGCUGAAACAGGCAGUUUUCCAUCCGGACACAGAGAAGAAGAUCUUCAUGCCGUUGAGGAUGUCAGGUUUUGUUCCCUUUGGUACAGUCUCCGUUGUUGGCAUGUUACUGCCAAACCCAACCCUGGCUUCAACUCUCUUCUGGCAGUGGAUAAAUCAGAGUCACAAUGCCUGUUUCAACUAUGCUAACCGUAAUGCCACAAAGGUGACACCUACAGAGCGUUUUGUAAUGGGAUAUGUUGGAGCAGUCACCAUUGCUUGUUCUAUCGCAGCAGGGUUGAGUAUCUUAUUGAAGAAAGCGACCAACUUUAGUCCUACCACCAGGAUGGUCAUACAGAGGUUUGUUCCAUUCCCAGCCGUCGCUUCAGCUAAUGUCUGCAAUGUGGUUCUGAUGAGAUUCACUGAAUUGUAUGACGGCAUCGAUGUUGUUGACUCUAAGGGAAAUGUAGUUGGAUCUUCCAAGAUUGCUGCAAAAAUGGCUUUGAAAGAAACAGCAGUAACCAGAAUAGCUAUGCCAGCUCCUAUCUUACUCAUUCCACCUGUCAUCAUGACUUUCAUUGAAAACAAGACUCAUUUCUUGAAGCGUUUUCCUCGCUUCCAUUUUCCUCUACAAGUCGUUGUUUGUACCAGUGCCUUUGCCUUUGCUCUGCCGUUGGCUAUCAGUCUCUUUCCACAGUUCUCAACGGUUUCAACCUCAAAGCUGGAACCUGAAAUCCAAGCAGCAACAUCGGAGAAGACAGUCAGUUACAACAAAGGGUUAUGAGGUACCUGACGUUACAUAAGGUAACAGUGAAGCAACUUGAGUUGUAGUCAGUGCUUAUCAGUUUGGAACAUUCAGAUCUGGCUGAUAACAGUCCUCUAGAGUUUGGACUACGUCUGUUGUCACCACAUGCCUGGUUAGUUGCACUUGGGAAAGAGGUUGACCUAGAUGUAGACACUGUUGAUUCAGAUGUCGUCUGAGGAAGGCUACCUAACACAGUAGUAUUUGCUGCCAUUUUGGUUCUGCAUCAGUUAAUUCAGAUUAUCACCCACAUUAUGAUAAUUUUCAUAUACUCUGCAUUGUUAACAUUUUUAAAAACUUCAUUUGCACAUGGGAAUCAAAAGAGGUUGUUUCAAGGGUGCGCGGAUCUUCUU